rnacentral:rRNA from 1 species
UUCUGGUUGAUCCCGCCGGAGGUCACUGCUAUCGGUGUCCGAUUAAGCCAUGCGAGUCGAGAGGUGUAAGACCUCGGCAGACUGCUCAGUAACACGUGGAUAACCUGCCCAAGGGUCCGGGAUAACCCCGGGAAACUGGGGAUAAUACCGGAUGGGUCACCAGUGCUGGAAUGCUUGGUGGUCGAAAGGUGACGCCUUUGGAUGGGUCUGCGGCGGAUUAGGUUGACGCCGGUGUAACGUACCGGCGUGCCUGUAAUCCGUACGGGUUGUGGGAGCAAGAGCCCGGAGAUGGAUUCUGAGACACGAAUCCAGGCCCUACGGGGCGCAGCAGGCGCGAAAACUCUACAAUGCAGGCAACUGCGAUAGGGGGACAUCGAGUGGCAUCCACCUUGGGUGUCUGUCCAACCGUCUAAAAAACGGUUGUUAGCAAGGGCCGGGCAAGACCGGUGCCAGCCGCCGCGGUAAUACCGGCGGCUCGAGUGGUGGCCGAUAUUAUUGAGUCUAAAGGGUCCGUAGCCGGCUUUGCAAGUCCCCUGGGAAAUCCGGCGGCUUAACCGUUGGGCUUUCAUGGGAUACUACAUUGCUUGGGACUGGGAGAGGUAGGAGGUACUCGGGGGGUAGGGGUGAAAUCCUGUAAUCCUCCGGGGACACCGGUGGCGAAGGCGUCCUACCAGAACAGGUCCGACGGUGAGGGACGAAAGCUAGGGGCACGAACCGGAUUAGAUACCCGGGUAGUCCUAGCCGUAAACGAUGCCCGCUAGGUGUCACGACGGUCGUUAAUCGUCGUGGUGCCGUAGGGAAGCCGCGAAGCGGGCCACUUGGGAAGUACGGCCGCAAGGCUGAAACUUAAAGGAAUUGGCGGG